GGGUCGGCCAGCCCGGCCCGGGCGGCGGUCUGCCAGGCCGCCGCGACGGGUUCGACGAUCUGCCCGGCGGC
rnacentral:tRNA from 1 species